CCAUCUGGCCAUAGCACCCUGAAUGUGCCCCAACCCGUCUGAUCUUGGAAGCUAAGCAGGGCUGGGCCUGGUUUGUACUGGGAUGGGAGACUGUAUCAUCUGCUGUUAGCAGGC
ensembl:rRNA 5S_rRNA 5S ribosomal RNA